GCCUUCGUGGUGUAAUGGUCAGCAUGCUCGACGUGCAACCGAGAGGUCCAUGGUUCGAUUCCCUGCGAAGGCA
rnacentral:tRNA from 1 species